rnacentral:rRNA from 1 species
UAUAAUAAAAAUGUAAUAAUUUAAUUGUCUUUUAAUUAAUUUACUUUAUUUUUAUUUUUUUUAAAAAACUGAAAAGGAAAUUAUUAUUAUAAUUUAACAGAAAAAUUAAUGUACCUUUUGCAUUAGGGGUUUUUAAAAAAAAAUAAAAAUUUAUUUUUCUCGAAAUAUUUUGAGCUAAAAUUUAAUUUUUCUAAUAUUUCAAUAUUAAAUUAAAAUAAAUUUUAGAGGUGAAAUUCUUAUCAAAAAAUAUAAUAUCUAGUUAAAAAAUUUAAUUAAAUAUUAUUUUGUAAUAUUGUUUUAUUUUUUAAAAUUACAAAAAAAAAUUUUUGGGAUAAGCUAAAAAUUAUUAAAUUUAUGAUAUUUUAAAAAUUAAUAAAAGAAUUAAAAUUUUUCUAUUUAUUUUUAUAAAUAAAUUAAAUUAAAUUAAAUUAAAAAAAAUUUUUUUUUUAAAAUUAAAUUUAAUAUAAAAUUUAAAAAAAAAUGAAAAUAUUAGUAAAAAAUUUUUUAUUUAUAAUUUUUAAAUAUUAAUUAAAAGUUAAUUAAAUUUAAUUUUAAAGAACUAGGCAAUUAUUUUUUUUGACUGUUUAAUAAAAACAACGCAUUUAGAUAAACAAUAAAUGUAAAUCCUGCUCAAUGAAAAUUUUUUUAAAUUGCUGUAGUAUUUUGACUAUACAAAGGUAUUGAAAUAAGAUUUUAAUUGAAUGCUAAGAGAAUGGAAUAUCAAAGAAUAACUUUCUUAAAAUUAAAAAUUGAAAUUUUUUUAAUUUGUGUAAAAACAAUUAUAAAAAUUAAAGACAAGAAGACCCUAAGAAUUUUUAAAAUUUAAAUUAAUACAUUUUUGUUUUAAUUAAAUUUUAACUGGGGCGGUUAAAAAAUAUUAAAAACUUUUUAAUUUGAAAAUGAUCCAUUAUUAAUGAAAAUAUGAUAAAAUACUCUAGGGAUAACAGCGUUAUAUUUUUUGAUAGAUCAUAUUGACAAAAAAGUUUGCGACCUCGAUGUUGGAUUAGGAUACUUUUUUAAUGAAGAUAUUAAAAUAAGAAGUUUGUUCAACUUUUAAAUUCCUACAUGAUCUGAGUUUAGACCGAUGAGAAUCAGGUUGGAUUCUAUCUUAAUAAAAAACAAAUUUUAUUUAGUACGAAAGGAAUUUUAAAAUCUAAUUUUUUAGUAUUAUUCAUUUUAUUUGCAUCAAUUUUUGUAAUU